AUUCUGGCUCAGGAUGAACGCUGGCGGCGUGCUUAACACAUGCAAGUCGAACGGGAUCCAUCAGGCUUUGCUUGGUGGUGAGAGUGGCGAACGGGUGAGUAAUGCGUGACCGACCUGCCCCAUACACCGGAAUAGCUCCUGGAAACGGGUGGUAAUGCCGGAUGCUCCGACUCCUCGCAUGGGGUGUCGGGAAAGAUUUCAUCGGUAUGGGAUGGGGUCGCGUCCUAUCAGGUAGUCGGCGGGGUAACGGCCCACCGAGCCUACGACGGGUAGCCGGCCUGAGAGGGCGACCGGCCACAUUGGGACUGAGAUACGGCCCAGACUCCUACGGGAGGCAGCAGUGGGGAAUAUUGCACAAUGGGCGCAAGCCUGAUGCAGCGACGCCGCGUGAGGGAUGGAGGCCUUCGGGUUGUAAACCUCUUUUAUCGGGGAGCAAGCGAGAGUGAGUUUACCCGUUGAAUAAGCACCGGCUAACUACGUGCCAGCAGCCGCGGUAAUACGUAGGGUGCAAGCGUUAUCCGGAAUUAUUGGGCGUAAAGGGCUCGUAGGCGGUUCGUCGCGUCCGGUGUGAAAGUCCAUCGCUUAACGGUGGAUCUGCGCCGGGUACGGGCGGGCUGGAGUGCGGUAGGGGAGACUGGAAUUCCCGGUGUAACGGUGGAAUGUGUAGAUAUCGGGAAGAACACCAAUGGCGAAGGCAGGUCUCUGGGCCGUUACUGACGCUGAGGAGCGAAAGCGUGGGGAGCGAACAGGAUUAGAUACCCUGGUAGUCCACGCCGUAAACGGUGGAUGCUGGAUGUGGGGCCCGUUCCACGGGUUCCGUGUCGGAGCUAACGCGUUAAGCAUCCCGCCUGGGGAGUACGGCCGCAAGGCUAAAACUCAAAGAAAUUGACGGGGGCCCGCACAAGCGGCGGAGCAUGCGGAUUAAUUCGAUGCAACGCGAAGAACCUUACCUGGGCUUGACAUGUUCCCGACAGCCGUAGAGAUAUGGCCUCCCUUCGGGGCGGGUUCACAGGUGGUGCAUGGUCGUCGUCAGCUCGUGUCGUGAGAUGUUGGGUUAAGUCCCGCAACGAGCGCAACCCUCGCCCUGUGUUGCCAGCACGUCAUGGUGGGAACUCACGGGGGACCGCCGGGGUCAACUCGGAGGAAGGUGGGGAUGACGUCAGAUCAUCAUGCCCCUUACGUCCAGGGCUUCACGCAUGCUACAAUGGCCGGUACAACGGGAUGCGACACGGCGACGUGGAGCGGAUCCCUGAAAACCGGUCUCAGUUCGGAUUGGAGUCUGCAACCCGACUCCAUGAAGGCGGAGUCGCUAGUAAUCGCGGAUCAGCAACGCCGCGGUGAAUGCGUUCCCGGGCCUUGUACACACCGCCCGUCAAGUCAUGAAAGUGGGCAGCACCCGAAGCCGGUGGCCUAACCCCUUGUGGGAUGGAGCCGUCUAAGGUGAGGCUCGUGAUUGGGACUAAGUCGUAACAAGGUAGCCGUACCGGAA
rnacentral:rRNA from 1 species